rnacentral:rRNA from 1 species
UGGGGAAUAUUGCACAAUGGAGGGAACUCUGAUGCAGCGACGCCGCGUGAACGAAGAAGGCUUUCGAGUCGUAAAGUUCUUUUAUAUGGGAAGAUAAUGACGGUACCAUAAGAAAAAGCCCCGGCUAACUUCGUGCCAGCAGCCGCGGUAAUACGAAGGGGGCUAGCGUUGUUCGGAUUUACUGGGCGUAAAGCGCACGUAGGCGGACUUUUAAGUCAGGGGUGAAAUCCCGGGGCUCAACCCCGGAACUGCCUUUGAUACUGGAAGUCUUGAGUAUGGUAGAGGUGAGUGGAAUUCCGAGUGUAGAGGUGAAAUUCGUAGAUAUUCGGAGGAACACCAGUGGCGAAGGCGGCUCACUGGACCAUUACUGACGCUGAGGUGCGAAAGCGUGGGGAGCAAACAGG